CAGCGGGGGCGGCAGCUCUUGGGGAAAAGGAAGCGCGUUGGACGGAGCCCGGACGGCCGAGCAGAGGAUCGUGCUCAGCUGAACUCAGCCAGGGUUAUAAGCUCAAGGCAGGGAUUCUGACGCUCUCAAGAGACCGGCUCUGCCCCCUCGGCUCAGCUGACCCUACAAUGUGGACUCUGCCUCUCCAGGUCAGGACUGGCGUUUUAAAAUAAAAUGGAUGAUCUGACGUUACUUGAUCUUCUGGAGUGCCCCGUGUGCUUUGAAAAGCUCGAUGUCACAGCCAAAGUCCUCCCUUGCCAGCACACCUUCUGCAAACCAUGUCUCCAGAGGAUUUUCAAGGCCCACAAGGAGCUGAGGUGCCCCGAAUGCAGGACCCCGGUGUUUUGCAGCAUCGAGGCCCUUCCGGCCAACCUGCUGCUCGUGCGUCUUCUGGAUGGUGUGCGCGCGGGGCGGGGCUCGGGGAGAGGGGGCUCCUUCCGCAGGCCUGGCGUGCUGACCUCGCAGGACAGCAGGAAAAGCCGGGCUGACCCCAGAGGUCUGCAGUCCAGCCCUUUCCGCCUGGUGCCUAAUGUCAGGAUCCACAUGGAUGGGGUGCCUCGAGCAAAGGCCUUAUGCAACUACCGAGGGCAGAGUCCCAGUGACCUGAGGUUUAAUAAGGGAGAUGUCAUCCUCCUCCGGAGACAGCUUGAUGAGAACUGGUACCAGGGGGAGAUCAAUGGAGUCAGCGGGGUCUUCCCCGCCAGCUCCGUGGAAGUCAUCCAGCAGCUGCCCCAGCCACCCCCACUCUGCCGGGCCUUGUACAACUUCGACCUACGAGACAAGGACAAGAGUGAGAACCAGGACUGCCUGACCUUCCUCAAGGAUGAUGUCAUCACUGUGAUCAGCCGCGUGGAUGAGAACUGGGCAGAAGGAAAGUUAGGAGACAAAGUAGGCAUCUUCCCAAUCUUGUUUGUAGAGCCAAACCUCACCGCAAGACACCUCCUGGAGAAGAACAAAGGCCGUCAGUCAGCCGGCACAAAAAGCCUGUCCCUGGUGUCUUCAUCAUCCAGAGGCAAAGCAAUUAACACACCCACCCUCCGAAGGGGCCCUGGGUCCAGGAGGAAGGGACCCGGGCAGUUCUCCAUCACGACAGCCUUGAACACUCUCAACAGGAUGGUCCAUUCUCCUUCGGGGCGCCAUAUGGUGGAGAUCAGCACCCCAGUGCUUAUCAGCUCCAGCAACCCCUCUGUGAUCACCCAGCACAUGGAGAAAGCAGAUGUUCUUCCCAGCUCUGUGGGGCAGGUCAGCACUUAUCACUCUGCACCUGCAUCUCCAGGACACUCCACAGCCAUCGUCAGUCUGCCCGGCUCCCAGCAACACCUCUCAGCUAACAUGUUUGUAGCCCUGCACUCCUACUCAGCCCAUGGACCCGACGAGCUGGACCUACAGAAGGGAGAAGGCAUCAGGGUCCUGGGGAAGUGCCAGGACGGCUGGCUCAGGGGCGUCUCCUUGGUCACUGGACGAGUCGGCAUCUUUCCCAACAACUACGUCAUCCCCGUUUUCAGAAAGACAUCUAGUUUUCCAGAUUCCCGGAGCCCUGGUGUCUACACCACAUGGACGUUAUCCACCUCCUCUGUGUCCUCCCAAGGUAGCAUUGUGGAAGGUGAUCCCCGACAAAGCCGCCCCUUCAAGUCCGUCUUUGUGCCCACCGCCAUAGUCAACCCCGUGAGGAGCACGGCCAGCCCGGGGACUGCAGGACAGGGCUCUCUUCGGAAAGGGCGGAGCAGCAUGAGAAAGAGUAAGUGGUGGCAGAGAGAUGGAUCCCUGCAGAGACCCGUCCAGUCAGGGAUCCCCACCCUUGUGGUGGGCUCCCUCAGGCGCAGCCCCACCAUGGUCGUACAGCCUCAGCAGUACCAAUUCUACCAGCCGCAGGGGGUCCCCUCCUCACCCUCAGCAGUGAUGGCAGAGAUGGGACCCAAGCCCGCUCCCACUGGGGAGCCUGCCCUCACGUGCGUCAGCAGGGGCAGCGACACCAGGAUCCACUCGGCAGCCAGUUCCCUCAUCAUGGAAGGCAAGGAAAUCCCCAUCAAGAGUGAGCCUCUCCCAAAACCUCCUGCAUCUGCCCCACCAUCGAUCCUGGUGAAACCAGAAAACUCAAGAAAUGGCAGCGAAAAGCAAGUCAAAACCGUGAGAUUUCAGAAUUACAGCCCUCCUCCCGCCAAACAUUACACCUCCCAUCCCACCUCCGGAAAGCCUGAACAGCCAGCCACCCCUAAGGGGUCCCAGCCUGAAGCAGCCCCCUUGGGCCCAGAGAUGACCAUUCUAUUCGCCCACCGAAGCGGCUGCCAUUCUGGACAGCAGACAGACCUCCGGAAGAAGUCACCUUUUGGCAAGACCAUGAACCCAGUGUCUACUGCCUCGGCCCCGCAGACCGUGUUUCCCAGCAAAUGAAUCUACGGGUGGCUUUUCCUAGACCCCAAAGAGACCCUGCCUUGGUAAUCUUCCCAGGAGGAGCCAGCAACAACUGGGACACUGAUGACAACAAAUGAUCUUCUUGGAUGGAAACUGCUCAAUGGAGAGUUGUGGACCAUGGGAUAUUCCUUGGACAUAAGGGAUGAUACAGGAAUACGAAUAGGCUGGCCUCCAAGACAGAGGGUAAUAGGAGAAACAGCAAGUCUGUCUCUACCCAUAGUGUCAAUGGGGGGUGGGCCAGGAUGGAGAAAAGCAAAGAAUCAUGUGCUGUUACAGGUUACACCAGACUCCCUCCCAUCCCUCCUGUUAUUCCAUUCUAUUGUCAAAGCCAAACUUUAUCUUGCCAAUUUCUCAUAUUUUGGCACCUAAUUGACAAAUGAAAAAACUGGACAUCAAAUGCCUUCCAGAUCUGUGACUGGCCUCUCUCUCCAGCUCAGAUUUAGAGCCGUGCAGGGGAUGGCAUAAUAUUCUUCUCUUGGGUGUUCAAGCCAGAGAGGCCAACGCUUCUUCACAAUGUCCCUAGCCUUCACCCCUUCCCCUGACUCCCACCUGAGCAUCUUGCAUCCCUCUGCCACAACCUCCAUCUGUUCCAUUCCAAUUCCAUCCUGUUUCCCCCACCGCCUUCCCUGACACCUGCUGAUCCAGAGGGCUUCUCUUAGAACAUACUGAUCUGGGAAAUAAGGACUUGGUACAUAAAGAAUCUCAGAUAAGAAAAAUCCAUGAUGUUAUGAGAGAUGCCACAGACUGCAACGCUAACAGAGAGGCUAUUUCAAGUCUAAAGAUAUAAAAAUUAGUUAGAACCAUGCAUUCCUUUUUGCUCAGAAAUAAGUCAUCUUAAAAGACAAGUCAUUAGAAGAUAUUCUACCCCUGGUUUAAAAAACUGUAAUUUAAAAUGCAAAUUUUACAUUAUCUGUGCUAAACAGAGAGAGACAUUGCACAGAUAAAUGAAAUUCACAAAUACCCUGAGACUUCUUUGAGCCAUACAUUUUCAUCUUCUAUCCUAAGACAUCAAUAAGAGUUUCAUUUUUAAAAGCACAUGCUGCACUGAUUAUCAAAGACAAUGACAAGAAUGCAGCAUUAUUUGGAUAUGUUGGUUGUUUUAAAGUUCAGGAUUAUAAUUUUGCACUGAAGCAUCCUCAGUCUUUCAUCCAGCCCUGCUUAUAAGCAGGAGCAAGCAUCAGCCAAAGCAUGAGCAGAGUUAAGGGUUGUAUUUUGUGGUUACAGAAAUGUUUUCUCCUAUGUGAAGCUGUCACAUGAGGUCUUAAACUAGCACCCAUCUCUUAAUGGGAUGAAUAACUUGGAAUUCUUAAUCACACCCUUCUCUUAGCUAACCCCAGGGGAAGGUGAUAACAAGCAACAAGAAGCCCCAAAGUAUUGGCUUUAUCUACCCAGUAAUUCAGUGAUGACAUCUCCUCACACAUGGUCAAUGAUGGUGCUGCCAAUUGUCAGUCAUCCCUUUUCUCCGAACUACUGUGACUGAAUGUUGGUUCCAUUUCCUCUGGGACGAACUCAAGUUUGGUCAGCUCCUCUUUAGCCUCAGCAGCAAUGAAUAUAGAGAUGCUGCCUUCAGGUUCUGGAAUCUAUUUGUUGCUACCAUGAGGCCUUAUAGCCUACCUAUAAAUAGGUUUCCAUGACUUUAUUUUCCAGGGUAAAGUUAUAGAAUGUCAGAGUUAGAAAGAAUUUUAUUUUUAUUGAUGAUGUAUGGAAAAGUUAAGUAUAGGCAAGCUGCCCACACAAAAGCAAGUUGUAUAAACUUGCGGGGGG